AAUGUGGAAGCAAAGUUGUUUUACUCUGCUCUGCAUUUUGCUCAGUGGAAGCUCACUGCAGAAGCUAACUGAGGACCAUCCGGCAGAGUGAUAUUCAGUUAACAGAACAAUUAUCUUCGUAUAAGCUUCAUCAGAGAUAACUGAAGAUGGAAAAACAAAACAAAACAGAAAAAGAAAAAAAAAAACUACUGUCCCUAUAUAUAACUAAUUUUUGCCGUGCACCAACAAGAACCUGCUUCAAAUUUCCAUGACAAUUUACAACCCCCAUGCAAGCAGACAUGGUUUUCCACCUUUCUGAGCACUUACUUCUUCGAGAACUCUGAGAAGUUGACAGAAGCAUCCAGGGGAUUCUUCUUGCGUUCCUCUCGGCAAGUUUGUACUAAGAAUGCAUAUGAAGACAUGUUGCCUCUUGGUUCUUAGGAUCUCCUUUUGUUUAGUUGAUUUUUGUCAGCGAGCCACAUAGUCGCUCAGUGCCCGUCUGGCUCGCUCUUGCCCUGGCACUGUCUCUAUGGAGUUCAAUGUACUGCAAUGG
rnacentral:lncRNA from 1 species